rnacentral:rRNA from 1 species
UGGGGAAUUUUGGACAAUGGGCGAAAGCCUGAUCCAGCAAUGCCGCGUGUGUGAAGAAGGCCUUCGGGUUGUAAAGCACUUUUGUCCGGAAAGAAAUCCUUGGCUCUAAUACAGUCGGGGGAUGACGGUACCGGAAGAAUAAGCACCGGCUAACUACGUGCCAGCAGCCGCGGUAAUACGUAGGGUGCAAGCGUUAAUCGGAAUUACUGGGCGUAAAGCGUGCGCAGGCGGUUUGCUAAGACCGAUGUGAAAUCCCCGGGCUCAACCUGGGAACUGCAUUGGUGACUGGCAGGCUAGAGUAUGGCAGAGGGGGGUAGAAUUCCACGUGUAGCAGUGAAAUGCGUAGAGAUGUGGAGGAAUACCGAUGGCGAAGGCAGCCCCCUGGCAAGUACUGACGCUCAUGCACGAAAGCGUGGGGAGCAAACAGGAUUAAUACCCUGGUAGUCCACGCCCUAAANGAUGUCAACUAGUUGUUGGGGAUUCAUUUCUUAGUAACGUAGCUAACGCGUGAAGUUGACCGCCUGGGGAGUACGGUCGCAAGAUUAAAACUCAAAUAA